GUGGAUUAGUGGCGAACGGGUUGGGCAAUCUGCCCUGCACUCUGGGACAAGCCCUGGAAACGGGGUCUAUUAGCGGAUAUGACACGGCAUCGCAUGGUCUCCGUGUGGAAAGCUCCGGCGGUGCAGGAUGAGCCCGCGGGCUAUCAGCUUGUUGGUGGGGUGAUGGCCUACCAAGGCGACGACGGGUAGCCGGCCUGAGAGGGCGUGGGACUGAGACACGGCGCAGACUCCUACGGGAGGCAGCAGUGGGGAAUAUUGCACAAUGGGCGCAAGCCUGAUGCAGCGACGCCGCGUGAGGGAUGACGGCCUUUGAAAACCUCUUUCAGCAGGGAAGAAGCGAGAGUGACGGCACCUGCAGAAGAAGCACCGGCUAACUACGUGCCACGCGGUAAUACGUAGGGUGCGAGCGUUGUCCGGAAUAAUUGGGAAGAGCUCGUAGGCGGCUUGUCGCGUCGGAUGUGAAAGCCCGCUUAACCCCGGGUCUGCAUUCGAUACGGGCAGGCUAGAGUUCGGCAGGGGAGAUUGGAAUUCCUGGUGUAGCGGUGAAAUGCGCAGAUAUCAGGAGGAACACCGGUGCGGAUCUCACUGACGCUGAGGAGCGAAAGCGUGGGGAGCGCACAGGAUUAGAUACCCUGGUAGUCCACGCCGUAAACGUUGGGCACUAGGC
rnacentral:rRNA from 1 species